GAUGAACGCUAGCGGCAGGCCUAAUACAUGCAAGUCGAACGGAUAUAUGUUUUUCGGAAUAUAUAUUAGUGGCGCACGGGUGAGUAACACGUACAUAACUUGCCCUCAAGCGGGGGAUAGCCUUGGGAAACUGAGAGUAAUACCCCAUAGAAUUAUUGGACGGCAUCGUUUGAUAAUUAAAACUACGGUGCUUGGGGAUAGAUGUGCGUCUGAUUAGCUAGUUGGUGAGGUAACUGCUCACCAAGGCGACGAUCAGUAGGGGGCGUGAGAGCGUGGCCCCCCACACGGGUACUGAGACACGGACCCGACUCCUACGGGAGGCAGCAGUAAGGAAUAUUGGUCAAUGGAGGGAACUCUGAACCAGCCAUGCCGCGUGAAGGAUGACGGCCCUCUGGGUUGUAAACUUCUUUUGGAUGGGGCGAAAAACGGGUUUAUCCUGGACUGACGGUACCAUCAGAAUAAGCACCGGCUAACUCCGUGCCAGCAGCCGCGGUAAAACGUG
rnacentral:rRNA from 1 species